AUGAAGCCCGCUGUGCGGGUGCAACACUCAAUGCUUGCGUUUGCGGCCGAUGCUGUUGUCGUUGUUUAAUUUU
rnacentral:misc_RNA from 1 species